UCCAGACUCCUACGGGAGGCAGCAGUGGGGAAUAUUGCACAAUGGGGGAAACCCUGAUGCAGCGACGCCGCGUGAGUGAAGAAGUAUUUCGGUAUGUAAAGCUCUAUCAGCAGGGAAGAUAAUGACGGUACCUGACUAAGAAGCCCCGGCUAACUACGUGCCAGCAGCCGCGGUAAUACGUAGGGGGCAAGCGUUAUCCGGAUUUACUGGGUGUAAAGGGAGCGUAGACGGCGAAGCAAGUCUGAAGUGAAAACCCAGGGCUCAACCCUGGGACUGCUUUGGAAACUGUUUUGCUAGAGUGUCGGAGAGGUAAGUGGAAUUCCUAGUGUAGCGGUGAAAUGCGUAGAUAUUAGGAGGAACACCAGUGGCGAAGGCGGCUUACUGGACGAUAACUGACGUUGAGGCUCGAAAGCGUGGGGAGCAAACAGGAUUAGAUACCCCCGUAC
rnacentral:rRNA from 1 species